UUUUCCUUUUUAAAACUAAACACACGCUGUAUCCGCGGCUGGCUACGGUCUCGCAGAAAUCUGCCUGCCUUUGUUUUGAUUAAAGGCGUGAACCAUCACGCUUGGCAUUUCCUUAAGCAAGUAUUUCUGACGGCUUUUGUUGCUUUAAGAGCCGGCGUGAACAUAGCGCUUCCCAGACGUGAUUUUGUAUAACGUCGGUAACUGGAGCAGGGAGGUUAGUUACGUUUUGGGGUCUUCAGGACCUCGAAGCAGGAGGACUUUGUGAAGGACAAAAUGGUGGCGGCGGUGCAGGGCCAUCCCCGAUGAUGAUUUCGUUUUCACAGACCUGUACUGAUUUCUAUGAGGAUAAGUAAUUCUGAGGAGGCUGGCCCAGUACCUAAAGUCUUUGGCCCCCACCCAGAUUUCUCUUAAACGGAGGUGUAGAAAUAACCAAAUGCUAAUUCGUUCCAGAUUUGGGAUGAUUGUAUACGGAAACAUGGAAGUAUGCGUCCUUUUUAAGAAUAUGGUUGAUGAAAGCGGAGUUUACACUCUGGAACCAGGUUAGAUUGACCUUACAACUAAGACGCUUUGCUGGCAGUUCAGCAUCCUGUAGCAAUAUUCUGAGGAAUGCAGACGACCUCCCAGGAUGAAUACAGGUUAUCCUGGUGGCUUGUCUAAAGGAGAAGAUAAUUCCUGUAUGCUACCAAUCACCAGCAUUCAGAGGUUCUGUUAGCAGUGGCAUCCUUGCUGGUUCAGAAAUCUGGUGUCUGCCCUAGAGAUGAGGAACCAACUUUGCCCGGUAAAUGCUUUUGUAAUGCUAUUUGCUGUAUAAAUUGGGUGUCAGUAUAUAAUACCUUGAUCUAGUGAAUUCCUGCUCACCAGUGAUGAGUUGAAUACCGCCCCAGUCUGAUAACUGUGGAGAAAGGUAUUUUCUGAGUUGUGAGAACACCUGGAUCAAUUGUGAGAACUAUUAUUGAGUUAGUGCAUGAAUUCUGUAAAAUAAGCUUUCAUUACAAGCAGUAAGAAUAAUGGCCCUAUUCUCUGCUCUGUCUUGCAGAAAAGUUGAGCACAUCUUCACUCUGCUGGAAUGAGGUGAGAAAGCAUGGGUGUGUAAGGUGCUGUGAACUAGUCUCCCCAUGAAGAAACUUUCACAUGUCUUACUUCCUGUCCUAGCGCCAGAGCCUGAAAAGGUGAACCCACUGGGGCUGGCUGGGGGAAAAGAGGAAGAUUUGUUCCAGAAGGAACUGUCUGAGGGAUUGAGUUUUUAUAGAGAGGAAAGAAUGGUCAGGUGAUAAAGAGAUAAAAAGUGGCUUGUCUUUUCCCAGGUCUGAAGAAAGGAGGAGCUUGUGAAUGGUAAGUAGACAAUUGGUAUUGAGUAUGGGCAGGUUGGAGUUUUGGUUAGGAAAGGGGUAUCUGGAAGGCUGAGGAUUGUCCAUGUGGGUGCAUUUGGCAUGCUACAUUAACUUAAUUAAAACUUUUACAGGAAUGCAGAUCUCCAAGAACAAAGAUCUCUAUGUCCUCGAUAAUUUGGAGUUAUGUGUAAUUAUUAUCUUAAUAAAAUAGUUUC